rnacentral:sRNA from 1 species
UACUUCCGGUAGGAGCCUCGCAGGAAUGGUGUCCGGGUAGAGGCAGGUAAGGAUGUCCCGGGCCGGUGGAGAAGGCAGAGCUGGGCGUGUGGCUUCGCUUGGAAUCCGAAUCAGAACUUGGACCAGAGCCUUCCCUGAGGAUGCUGAAGCAACACCUUCUUUGGAUUGAGUUUCUUCCAGAGGGAACCAAGAAGAGGAUUAAAUAAUACAUUCAAUUCUAAAAUAAGACAUGGCCCAUGAGUUGGUGAUGUUCAGAGAUGUGGCUAUAGAUGUCUCUCAGGAGGAAUGGGAAUGCCUGAACCCAGCGCAGAGGAAUUUGUACAAGGAGGUGAUGUUGGAGAAUUAUAGCAACUUGGUGUCACUUGGUAAAGUUAUCUAAAAAUUAAGAACCUGACAAUUCAGAAUUCCUCUAACAAUUCACAAUCUACUUCUUGGAAUUUCUGCUUUCUCCCUUAAUUUAAGGCUAGCUUUCAAAUAACUGGAUGAAUUUUCUCUUUGUGUAUUGUAGAAACCAGCACAGCUAAAUGGAGGUACAUUUUCAUUUUCCCCAUCUGUACAUGUUCUUUUGG